AUGAACGCUAGCGACAGGCCUAACACAUGCAAGUCAGGGGCAGCAUAAAGGUAGCAAUACUUUGGUCGGCGACCGGCGCACGGGUGAGUAACACGUAUGCAACCUACCUGUAAGCGGGGAAUAACCCGUUGAAAGACGGACUAAUACCGCGUUAACACUGCAUUUCCGCAUGGGGAUUCAGUUAAACAUUAAUGGCUUACAGAUGGGCAUGCGCAUGAUUAGCUAGUUGGAGAGGUAACGGCUCCCCAAGGCAACGAUCAUUAGGGGUUCUGAGAGGAAGGUCCCCCACACUGGUACUGAGACACGGACCAGACUCCUACGGGAGGCAGCAGUGAGGAAUAUUGGUCAAUGGGCGAGAGCCUGAACCAGCCAAGUCGCGUGCAGGAAGAAUGUCCUAUGGAUUGUAAACUGCUUUUGCAGGGGAAUAAAGUGCGGCACGUGUGCUGUUUUGUAUGUACUCUGCGAAUAAGGAUCGGCUAACUCCGUG
rnacentral:rRNA from 1 species